rnacentral:rRNA from 1 species
ACGCACGCUGGCGGCGUGCCUAAUACAUGCAAGUCGAGCGAAGUUUUUCUGGUGCUUGCACCGGAAAAACUUAGCGGCGAACGGGUGAGUAACACGUAAAGAACCUGCCUCAUAGACUGGGACAACUAUUGGAAACGAUAGCUAAUACCGGAUAACAGCAUUAACUGCAUGGUUGAUGUUUAAAGGUUGGUUUUGCUAACACUAUGAGAUGGCUUUGCGGUGCAUUAGCUAGUUGGUGGGGUAAAGGCCUACCAAGGCGACGAUGCAUAGCCGACCUGAGAGGGUGAUCGGCCACACUGGGACUGAGACACGGCCCAGACUCCUACGGGAGGCAGCAGUAGGGAAUCUUCCGCAAUGGGCGAAAGCCUGACGGAGCAACGCCGCGUGAGUGAAGAAGGAUUUCGGUUCGUAAAGCUCUGUUGUUAGGGAAGAAUGAUUGUGUAGUAACUAUACACAGUAGAGACGGUACCUAACCAGAAAGCCACGGCUAACUACGUG